UGGGAGUCAUCAGUCAUAUAUGGUAUAUAUACAUAUAUUUUUUUGGCCGUGCCGCCUGCCUUGCGGGAUCUUAUUUCCCCCAACAGGGAUUGAACCCGUGCCCCCUGCAGUGGAAGCGUGGAGUCUUAACCACCAGACUGCCAGGGAGGUCCCAGUGCAUAGAUGGUAUUUAAAGCUGUGAAACUGAAUGAAACACGAGUAUAGACAGAGAAGAGAUAUGACAGCUGAGUCGUGGGACAUUCCCGUGUUCAGAGCUCAGAGAGAUGAGGAGGAACCAGUAAUGAAGACUGAGAAGGAACGGCUAUUGCAGCAGCUGCUUUUGUAUACCCGGGAGAAAAUGGUUUAAGGAGGAAGUGAUCAACUGUAGGAAGGUAAAAAAGUCUUCCCUCUGUGAGUUCUAAGGUAGGGCCUGUGAGCUCUUCAAUGGAUAGCAGCUUCUGGCAGAGACGGCACCACAUCUUCCUGCCCAGCUUGGCAAAAAUCACUACUUGAUCAUGGCUCUCCUUCCCAUUGACCCUGAGCAGGGUCUUGAAAUGCUGCACAACACAGCACUCUUGGUCGCUACAACUGGCAUACCGGGGCUGACCUUCUCGAUGAAAAUGGUUUAUCAUCGCCUGACACAGCAUCUUUAGCAUUGGGGAACUGACCCUUCCCGUUUCAUAGGACUGAGUCACAGAACUCUGACAGUCUUUGUCUCAAGGGUUAACCCAUGGCCAGGACCUGGCCAUGAUCUAACCAGGAUCAGUCCCUUCCCCUGAUUGGCCAACCAGAGAGACCUUCCCUAGGAUUUGAUGUAUUCAAGUUUGGAGAGAAAAGUUGGGUAGUUGUGCUGUGAUGUAGCCUGGGGCUACGGGAGCUGUCUUACCCACCAUGUAGAAAAAGGCUGAAGUCACCAAGAAUGAAGAGAUGAAGCCAAGAUAUGAAGAUACAAAGUCAGAGAAUAAAGUCAAGCCAAGUAGAGAUGAGAAACGAGAGAUGGAAACUUCUAACACACACUCCUGUUCUUCCCGUUACUGAAACAUCCACCAGGUGGAAGAAGUUAACUACGUGAUGACCAGACUGUAGCCAUGACAUAAGCUGCCACAAUUCCGAGAAUUUGCCUCAAAGAAAUGGAAACAAACUGACCCUGGAACUGAAGAUUAACUGUACUUAAAACAAUCAAAAUGACGCUGGUCAGACCACUGCAUGACCAAUUUCAAGAUGACUGUCAGAGCUGACUGUGGUGGUUCUGCUGUAGCCACCUCCUUCCGUCUAUAAAACUCUUGCCCCCUGAUUGUCAGGGGCGAGGGGGAGUCUGCCUUUGGACAGGAGUCCAACCCCUCCGCCCCCUAGUUGCCACAUCCAAAAUAAAGCAAACUUUCCUUUCCACCAACCUUGCCUAUUUAUUGGCUUUUGAGCAGCGAGCAGCCGGACCGCACUUUUGGCUACACUCCCUGUACCUGGAGGAAAGGAGCAUCCUUACCUCUUGAGACAAA